GUGACGAAUGCCGGAUGAAACUACAGAUCGUUAAUCUCCUGGUCGCGGGUUCGAAUCCCGUCGGGUCCUCCAGUUUAUGGACCCGUAGCUCAGCGGAUAGAGCAGGACGUUUCACCACACCUUGUCGUCACGGA
rfam:Rhizobium etli CNPAF512 RHECNPAF_contig96, whole genome shotgun sequence.